rnacentral:rRNA from 1 species
AUGGGCGAGAGGUUCCCUGGCGAUGGGGCGGCGGCCAAUGGCUUCAGCCGCCGCUCGCUGCACGAGUGGGAGGCGUACCUCCUGUUCGAGGCCAACGCGCCGGCAUCACCGGACAUGCGCGCGCCGGGGUGGUGGAGGCUCAGUGCCGGUGGCAUUCCCAUCCCCCCGCUGCCCGACGUCGACGUGCACCCCGACUACUUCGCCGAUGAGAUUGCCCGCGUGCGGGUGUCGCUGACGGAGGAGCAGCGGGCCCUCCCGCACUACGCUGUCGGCAAUCACGAGGCCUCGGCGGCGUACUUCCAGCAUCGACAGGCGCAGCGGCUGGCCUCCACCAAUGGGGCACCGGUGGUGCGGCGGUCGAAGAACAGCGAGAGCCGCCGCCUGUGGUGGGGUGCCCCCGGCUGCACUCUCCUCGCCGUCCUCCAGCACCUCGAGGGCGGCAACGACUCGCCAUUGACGUACCCUCCUGCCCCGGUUCCUCGCCGGAGCGGCGACCAAUGGAUGCCCCGCCGGACCGGCUCCUCCUCUUCCUCCUCCCGCUCAUCCGGCUCGUCCAUGUUGCUCGGCGUCAAGGCCGAGCCCGCGGAGACCGCCGAGACGCCGCUCGGCCGGCGCACCCGCAACGAGGGCGGGCGCGCCUCCUCCUCUGCGGCUCUUCCCCGCUUCGUCAAGCCGGAGACGGAGCCGGGCCUCGCCGUCAUGAAGACGGAGCCAGGGCUCGCCGACGUGAAGGCGGAGCCAGGGCUCGACGAUGCGGCAGCAUUGAAGUGGGCGCGUGAAGACUGGGCGCGGGCGGAACUGGAGCGCCAGCGCCGUGCCCUGGAGCAGUUCUUCGCUCGGCGCCGUGGCCACGACGAGGGAGGCGUCGUCGUCCUCGACAAUGAUAGCGGCGACGCUGCCUCCGCCUACGCCGGUCCGCUAGGGCGAACCCGGCCAGGGGUCCAGCAGUGGCGUCUGCGUCAAGGAGGAGAAGAAGGACGACGACAACAGCGGCGACGGCGACCUCGCCCCUCUCAGCGCGUUUUCAGCCUGUAG